rnacentral:rRNA from 1 species
UGAGGAAUAUUGGUCAAUGGGCGCAAGCCUGAACCAGCCAUGCCGCGUGCAGGAUGAAGCAUCUAUGGUGUGUAAACUGCUUUUGUACGGGAAGAAACACCUCUACGUGUAGAGGCUUGACGGUACCGUAAGAAUAAGGAUCGGCUAACUCCGUGCCAGCAGCCGCGGUAAUACGGAGGAUCCAAGCGUUAUCCGGAAUCAUUGGGUUUAAAGGGUCCGUAGGCGGUUUUAUAAGUCAGUGGUGAAAUCCGGCAGCUCAACUGUCGAACUGCCAUUGAUACUGUAGAACUUGAAUUAUUGUGAAGGAACUAGAAUAUGUAGGGUAGCGGGGAAAUGCUUAGAUAUUACAUGGAAUACCCCUUGCGAAGGCAGGUUACUAACAAUUGAUUGACGCUGAUUGACGAAAGCGUUGGGAGCGAACAGG